GAGAGAGAGAGAGAGAGAGAGAGAGAGAGAGAGAGAGAGAGAGAGAGAGAGAGAUUAUUAUUAUAGUUUAUUGACAGAAUUUUGCGAUUACAAGAAGCUUAAAGUAAAAAUCAUUUCACUAAAAGAGAGAGAGAGAGAGAGUCUUGAUAGAGAGUCUUGAUAGAGAGAGAGAGAGAGAGAGAGAGAGAGAGAGAGAGAGAGUCUUGAUAGAUAAUAUUGAGCACAGUCUUCACCGCUGGGUCGACUGUGGGGGCUGCGCUAUUCCGGUUGGUGGCCGGUUGGUGGCCGUGGCUGUUCACGCACUAGCUCUUGCUGUGGCUGGCAUGCUGUUCUGUCCUCUCUUGUUCCAGGAAUUGCUGUCUGAGGUGUGUGUGUGUGUGUAGAAGCCACCAUCAUCAACCACAGCAGGUGAUAAUGAUGUUUCCUGCUUUCAUCCUCAUUGGGGCUAGCCAGACCAACUUGGGGCUGUACUGGGGUGACGCUGUGUGCCUCAGGUGUAUCUGGAGGGCUGAGAUAGUGAGAAGAGCGGCAGUGGAUCUGUACAUAGGUGAGGUGGCGAGGGGCGUGGCCAGGGGGCGGCUAGCAGCGUGUGCCACCAGGGAAAUGUGUAUGAACAUAAAAAAAGGCGCCCGUCAAGAAAGGUUUAUUGAUGAAGUGUGGAAGAAGAGGAGGAAGGAACAAUGAUAUUCGACCAGCUGCGGCAUCUGGGGGCUUCACUUGACUGGGACAGCUGGGACAUGGAUGCAGCGAGAGACUGGCCUGUGUGUCUGUCUGUACAUCCGCACACCCUUGACCUCCAUGUCCACCCAGCAGGAGGAAGAUCUGGACACCUGUUACUCCUCUGGUCCCUCCCUUUGCCUCGCUGGGCUGGCCAGGUCAGGGGAGGGGAGAGACCAUGCUCGCUUCUACGCAACGACCUUGAAGACGGGUCACGGCAUCCUCUUCUGGGUGGCUCAGGUGGUCAUGCCGGGACUCGACUUGACGGGGUGGCUUUCCUUUGAGACUGUGCUGCUGCAUGGCCUCCAGGGUGAUGGUGGCGGCCACAAGACGUCCAAGUCCUGGGGCAGUGUGAUAGACCCCCUGGAUGUCAUCAGUGGGGCGUCCCUGGAGGUGUGUGACUUGCUGGUGCUGUGUGUUCUGUACUGGUGUUCAUUGGCUGUGGUGAGCAGUACCUUGACAGCAGGUACUGUGCGAGAGGGUGGAGGGGACCCUGAAUGCGGAAGAGGUACUCGCUUGUCUCGUAUGAAGUCCCCCACAGGCAUCCCAGAGUGUGGAGCUGAUGCCCUUUGGUCCACCCUGUGCUCCACCAGCUUCAGGAGUCAGUGUGGCAUAGAUAUAUGUGGAUGACUGUGGUGUCUUGUCUUGUGUGGAGUUACAAGGUUGGUGUAUGGAUGGAACCGUCACCCCAAACAAUGAGUGGUGGAGGGUGCGUUCUGCAUUGACAGCCAGCAUGAGCGGUGACAGGAGCCAUGGGUGCCUUGCCUCCUCGCACCACCACCACAAGCACCACCACUCCUGCCAUCACCUACAAGGGGGAGACUGUGAUGUGGCUGCAGGUGGAUAGGUUCGGAGGCCUCCAGAGAGCUGCCCAGAGUGAAGCUUGUGGUAUAGAGGGACAGCUGCUAUUCAUCAAGCUUAUGGAGUGACUGGAGGAAAGUGGAGGAGCCUGCAGGAAGUGGUGGAGGUACAGUACUUGGAGAAAAUCCCUCCACCAUGAUGACUGGGUGUCUGCUGUACAGGCCACCAACCAAUGGUGAGAGAGGGAGGGAGACUGGCUAAUGGUGGAUGAGAGAGAGAGAGAGAGAGAGAGAGAGUCUUGAUAAAUAAUAUUGGGCACAGGCUUCACCACUGGGUCGACUGUGAGGGCCGCGUUCUUCUGCUAGGGAAGUAUUGGCUGGUUGGUGGCCGCGGCUGUUCACACACUCACUCUUGCUGCGGCUGGCAUGCUGUUCUGUCCUCUCUUCUUCCAGGAAUUGCUGUCUGAGGUUGUGUGUGUGUGUGUGUGUGUGUGUGUGUGUAGAAGCCAUCAUCAUCAACCACAGCAGGUGAUAAUGAUGGUUCCUGCUUUCAUCGUCAUUGGGGCUAGCCAGACCAACUUGGGGCUGUACUGGGGUGACGCUGUGUGCCUCAGGUGUAUCUGGAGGGCUGGUAUAGUGAGAAGGUAACAAUUAAAAAGGACUAGUGUACACUUAAACCAUUACAAACACUAUGUAAUGCUGGUAUACACACACAAACACUGGUUUACACAUAGAGACAUAUAUAAACACUUGCUAUGGUUUGUAUACUCUUAGAAACACACACAAACUCUUAAUAAGUCUAGUAUACACACAAACUUGUAUACAAACACUAGUAUAUAUUUAGAGACACGUCCAAAUCUUUGCUAAGUCUGAUAUAAACACACAAACUCAUAAGAGAUGCUGGUAUAUGCUUGGAAAUCUAUACACACAUUAGGUAAGACUAGUAUAUAUAUAUAU